UGCUGGAUCAUGAGUGGGUAAUGAAGGGGUACAGCAGCCCUGUGGAAUGGCACAGCACAUGCCCGCUGGAUCAUCUAGAUGAGGAGAGCAUCACCGUGGCUGUGAUGUUCAGACAGUCCAACCAAAGCACCAAGCAGCUGGUGUCUGAGUGGAAGUUUGAUCAGACCACACGUAUCUUUUGCUCUUGAGAAGGAAGCAGCGCAGUAGUCCAGUGUGUAGCUGAGCGGAUGUGUAAGAA